rnacentral:rRNA from 1 species
CACUCCUACGGGAGGCAGCAGUGGGGAAUUUUGGACAAUGGGCGAAAGCCUGAUCCAGCAAUGCCGCGUGAGUGAAGAAGGCCUUCGGGUUGUAAAGCUCUUUUGUCAGGGAAGAAACGGUGAAAGCUAAUAUCUUUUGCUAAUGACGGUACCUGAAGAAUAAGCACCGGCUAACUACGUGCCAGCAGCCGCGGUAAUACGUAGGGUGCAAGCGUUAAUCGGAAUUACUGGGCGUAAAGCGUGCGCAGGCGGUUUUGUAAGUCUGAUGUGAAAUCCCCGGGCUCAACCUGGGAAUUGCAUUGGAGACUGCAAGGCUAGAAUCUGGCAGAGGGGGGUAGAAUUCCACGUGUAGCAGUGAAAUGCGUAGAUAUGUGGAGGAACACCGAUGGCGAAGGCAGCCCCCUGGGUCAAGAUUGACGCUCAUGCACGAAAGCGUGGGGAGCAAACAGGAUUAGAAACCCUGGUAGUCCCA